GUACGGGAGGCAGCAGUGGGGAAUCUUGCACAAUGGGGGAAACCCUGAUGCAGCGACGCCGCGUGAGCGAUGAAGCCCUUCGGGGUGUAAAGCUCUUUCGGCAGGAACGAUGAUGACGGUACCUGAAGAAGAAGCUGCGGCUAACUACGUGCCAGCAGCCGCGGUAAUACGUAGGCAGCGAGCGUUGUUCGGAGUUACUGGGCGUAAAGAGUGCGUAGGCGGUGCUCUAAGUUUGGUGUGAAAUCUCCCGGCUUAACCGGGAGGGUGCGCCGAAAACUGGAGUGCUUGAGUGCGGGAGAGGAGAGCGGAAUUCCUGGUGUAGCGGUGAAAUGCGUAGAUAUCAGGAGGAACACCUGCGGUGUAGACGGCUCUCUGGACCGCUACUGACGCUGAGGCACGAAAGCGUGGGGAGCAAACAGGAUUAGAUACCCCGGUAGG
rnacentral:rRNA from 1 species